rnacentral:rRNA from 1 species
UAUCAUAAACAGUUCUUGUCGGUUGAGCACCCUUUUCAAGGAAAUAGAGAAUAGCUGGAACAUUUAAACAAGUUUGAUUCUUUAUCGGAUCAUAAAAACCUACUUUUUGAAGAUCUCUUCCUUCUCUUCGAGAUCGAACAUCAAUUGCAACGAUUCGAUAGACAGCUUAUUGGGAUAGAUGUAGAUAAACAACGCCCCCCCUAGAAACGUAUAGGAGGUUUUCUCCUCAUACGGCUC